rnacentral:lncRNA from 1 species
AACCAUAGUAGCCCUAUUAGAUAUCUACAGUCACGACAGUACUUAACCCAGGGUGACCCUUAAUAGAUAUUUACGUUACUACUCUCUUCUGAUUGUAUGUUGUAACACCCCGCCCAUCACUGUGCUUAAAUGAUUUGCAAACCUUAUUUAUUUAGGCCUUUGGCCACGUUAAAUUUAAUUAAUUUAUUCUACUUAAUAUUUAUCAUGAUUCAUAAAUCUAGUUAAU